GCGCACGCUGGCGGCAGGCCUAACACAUGCCAGUCGAACGAACUCUUCGGAGUUAGUGGCGGACGGGUGAGUAACACGUGGGAACGUGCCUUUUGGUUCGGAAUAACUCAGGGGAACUUGUGCUAAUACCGAAUGUGCCCUUCGGGGGAAAGAUUUAUCGCCAUUAGGGCGGCCCGCGUCUGAUUAGCUAGUUGGUGAGGUAACGGCUCACCAAGGCGACGAUCAGUAGCUGGUCUGAGAGGAUGACCAGCCACACUGGGACUGAGACACGGCCCAGACUCCUACGGGAGGCAGCAGUGGGGAAUCUUGCGCAAUGGGCGAAAGCCUGACGCAGCCAUGCCGCGUGAAUGAUGAAGGUCUUAGGAUUGUAAAAUUCUUUCACCGGGGACGAUAAUGACGGUACCCGGAGAAGAAGCCCCGGCUAACUUCGUG
rnacentral:rRNA from 1 species